rnacentral:rRNA from 1 species
GCCAGACUCCUACGGGAGGCAGCAGUCGGGAAUAUUGCGCAAUGGAGGAAACUCUGACGCAGUGACGCCGCGUAUAGGACGAAGGUCUUCGGAUUGUAAACUAUUGUCGUUAGGGAAGAGAAAGGACAGUACCUAAGGAGGAAGCUCCGGCUAACUACGUGCCAGCAGCCGCGGUAAUACGUAGGGAGCAAGCGUUAUCCGGAUUUAUUGGGUGUAAAGGGGGCGCAGACGGCGAUGCAAGCCAGGAGUGAAAGCCCGGGGCCCAACCCCGGGACUGCUCUUGGAACUGCGUGGCUGGAGUGCAGGAGGGGCAGGCGGAAUUCCUGGUGUAGCGGUGAAAUGCGUAGAUAUUAGGAGGAACACCAGUGGCGAAGGCGGCUUACUGGACUGUAACUGACGUUGAGGCUCGAAAGCGUGGGGAGCAAACAGGAUUAGAUACCCGAGUAU